UGCCAGCCGCCGCGGUAAUACGUAGGGUGCGAGCGUUGUCCGGAAUUACUGGGCGUAAAGGGCUCGUAGGUGGUUUGUCGCGUCGUCUGUGAAAUUCCGGGGCUUAACUCCGGGCGUGCAGGCGAUACGGGCAUAACUUGAGUACUGUAGGGGUAACUGGAAUUCCUGGUGUAGCGGUGAAAUGCGCAGAUAUCAGGAGGAACACCGAUGGCGAAGGCAGGUUACUGGGCAGUUACUGACGCUGAGGAGCGAAAGCAUGGGUAGCGAACAGGAUUAGAUACCCUGGUAGUC
rnacentral:rRNA from 1 species